rnacentral:rRNA from 1 species
AGUUAGUUGGUAAGGUAACGGCUUACCAAGACAAUGAUACGUAGCCGACCUGAGAGGGUAAUCGGCCACAUUGGGACUGAGACACGGCCCAAACUCCUACGGGAGGCAGCAGUAGGGAAUCUUCCACAAUGGACGAAAGUCUGAUGGAGCAACGCCGCGUGAGUGAAGAAGGUUUUAGGAUCGUAAAACUCUGUUGUUGGAGAAGAACAGGGACUAGAGUAACUGUUAGUCCUUUGACGGUAUCCAACCAGAAAGCCACGGCUAACUACGUGCCAGCAGCCGCGGUAAUACGUAGGUGGCAAGCGUUGUCCGGAUUUAUUGGGCGUAAAGCGAGCGCAGGCGGUUUUUUAAGUCUGAUGUGAAAGCCUUCGGCUUAACCGAAGAAGUGCAUUAGAAACUGGGAAACUUGAGUGCAGAAGAGGACAGUGGAACUCCAUGUGUAGCGGUGAAAUGCGUAGAUAUAUGGAAGAACACCAGUGGCGAAGGCGGCUGUCUGGUCUGUAACUGACGCUGAGGCUCGAAAGUAUGGGGAGCGAACAGGAUUAGAUACCCUGGUAGUCCAUACCGUAAACGAUGAAUGCUAAGUGUUGGAGGGUUUCCGCCCUUCAGUGCUGCAGCUAACGCAUUAAGCAUUCCGCCUGGGGAGUACGACCGCAAGGUUGAAACUCAAAGGAAUUGACGGGGGCCCGCACAAGCGGUGGAGCAUGUGGUUUAAUUCGAAG